UUUCUCGCCAUUCUUGUUUCUUUAUUUAUUUUUGUGCUUUUGGCGAUUCGGUCAGGCUGAUCAUAGAUGAUGAGUUGGAGGGGAUGAACUUAUGCAAGAUUGAGAAGGAAGGAAGUAAGGAACAAAAACGAAGGUCUCAAUGUUUUUCACAAUGUCUACUUUCUUUUGUGUUCUAUCUCUUUUGUCAUUCCCUGAAUGUCGAAGAAAAAAUCA
rnacentral:ribozyme from 11 species